rnacentral:lncRNA from 1 species
CAUUGGUUUUAGCUUGUUGGCUCUAACAAGACAAGUGCCUGUCAGCCCAUGGUAGGGAUUCCAAGGACAGUAGCAAAAACACUUUUCGUGGGCCACAUCAUUGUGUGGGUCAGGGAAAGUGACCCCAGGCCAGUGCAUGCUUCCCAGCUGUCUUUACUGAGUCAGCCAGCCAUGACACCUGUGCAGUCUUGAUUCUAUCAUUGGCCAUCUGUGUGAGCAUGCACUACGAGGCUCCAGUUUCUUUAUCUGUCAGGUGUGAAUAGCUAUGCCCACCCUUUUGUCUUUUGAGGUUAUGGUAAGUUCUGGAGUAGCGAAAGAUCAGGCCGUUCUUUUUAAAGAAAUGUUUUCCUGCCAGACACCAGAGUCUGAGUCAGGCACCAAGCUGCCUCUCCUCCCAGUUAGUAUGUUCACCUACAAAGAAAGUGAUUUAGAGUAGCUGAAGAUGAAAGGAUAUGGCUGACCCCAAGUGUGUGCUGGCAUAUAUGUAUGUAUUCAUGUAUGGAUCUUAGCAACAGAGUUCACUUUCUCUACAGUGGCAAAAUAACACUAAUAUGGGCCAGUGUAUUAUCUGGAAUGUCCCCAUUGUUUAGAACUAAGGGUGAAACUGUCUUAUGAAAUAGAUUUGUACAUGGCUGUUUGGUCCCACUUUGGAGAAGCCAUCAACAGCAGAGCUUAGAAAACACAAGCUUUCUUUUCAUCAGGCAGAUAGCCCUUUGGAUGGUCCAAUGACUUCACUAGAACCUGGUAUUAGGAAGUCCAGGCACACUCCCACUCACCCAGGUGUGGACCAAUGGUCUGGAGGAACCUGGAUAGAUCACACAGCUCCUCAUGCCAGUCUGCAUGGAAAUGUCUCAGCGACAUUCGACUGCUGGGGAGUUGUGGAGCCAAUUUCACAAAGCAAAGGCUUUGUACUUUUCUAAGAAAGUAUUUUAGUCUUCAUUUUCUCUAAUUCUCCUCCCCUGACAAAUGAAACACAAAAUUAUGUUACAAAUGCAGACCCUAAUGGUAAUUUGUUUUCGCUUUUUAUUUAUAAUACCUAAGUUAUUCCUUAAAAAUAUCAAGUUGAACACAAUUGGUUUUGGUGAUAAGAUAUUCAACAUUGUUUUUAAAUUCUUUCUUAUAUGGUAAAUGUAUAUCCAGAUUAAUGUAUCAAAAUUUACCGCAUAAACUAUAAAAUCAUUUUCAAAAUCUCAAUUCCACAAAUAAAGUUCUAUUCUAAUUUAAAAAAAAUAAGGAGACCCAGAAGCCAGGGAGAAUCCUCACCAUUUGCUUUUUCUCUCAUAUCUUGAAGUCUUGUCUCACCCUUUGGUUUUGUCUAUUAACCUCAGACCAUCACGAUGAGACCUUAUUUAAAGGAGCCACAAAUGCAGACAGCCAUUUCCCCUAAGUUCUUCUUUUGUUUUCAGGAUAAUAAAUAUGUAAUUAUUCUAUCAGCCUUCCCACCUCACUGGAAGUGUAAUGAACAGGCAGGGGGCUCUUUACUGCUAAGUCAGGAUCCAGGAUCAGCAUCUUCAACAGGGCUCUACAAGGUAAUUCUAAAAUAUAGUUGCUCCUACUUGGCGAUGAAACCCCAUUGGCCAUCCUUCGUAACCAUUCUGAGCAGCCAAGAGGUACCAAUGCUGUAAAAUGCAAAAGACCAAACUUUUUCCAAGUCUGCUUUUUACAAGAGAAGUGGCUAGCUGACUGACCUGCUCUGAAUAACCCUAGCAACCAGAGACCUACCACCCAUCAAUGUAAUCUGUCUUGUUCCCUGUCAUGUGGAGUUGGGUCCAGCCAGAUUAAAUUUAGCCUCUGGAGGCCACUUGAACUCUGGUCAGUGGUACAGACACAGAAUACUAUAAGUGAGUGAGCUCCAUACAUCAGCUUUCUGGAAAGGGCACCAGCAGCUGAAGAGAGAGAAGGAAAACGGGAGGACCUGUAGAGCUGCUGACCUUGCUGCAAAUAUGGGCUGUCUCCUUGUGCUUCGUGAUAAAGCUCUACUGGUGACUGUUUCUGUCUGUGUGGGCAAUGUUCUACAUCACUACUAGUUACAUCCUCUUCAGAGCUACCUGGAAACCACUUUCAGGGCAAACACCACGAUAGAGACAAUUACAGACAUCCAUAACUGGCCAAAAUACAGAGAACAGCUGAUUGUAGGAUACCCAGCCCAAUUCAUGUAUCUACAAUGCAUGUAUCUACACUGAUGCUCAGGAAGAUCUGAAAAGAGGGAGCAGAAAGACCAAGAAGCAGAGUCUGCUGUGGGAGCUGCACCCAUAAAAUCCCAACAAUGUCCCUAAACAUAGCCUACAUGAUGGCACCAGUUAGCAGGCCAGUGUGGAUGGAAGAAAUCUCACAAAGUUCCACGCCUAGAUGAAGAACUACAGGCAAUCAAUGGCUACUGACAGAUCAGUCUUCUCCAGGGACCAUCCCCUGAUAGGUUAUGCAAUCCCAAGUGACCAACCAUAAAUUGAGCCCUCAUCCAGUGGCUGAUGGAAGCAGAGACAGACAUCCACAGAAAUACACUGAGCUGAAAUCUGGAAUUUAGUUGAAGAGAGGGAAGAAUGAAGAACGAAGGGGUCUGUACCAGGUUGGAGAAACCCACAGAAACAGUUGGCCUGAACAAGGGAGAGCAC